ensembl:lncRNA
GGAGUCUUCUUUUACACUGAAUUUAUUUAUGUCAGAAUAAAACAUGUUAAUAAAUUUCAGGGGUUUCCUGGAGAAAGAGGAUUUCCAGGACUCAAUGGAAGACCUGGUUCGAAGGGUUACCCAGGAGAUCCAGGUCUCCCUGGUCCAACAUACACUGUUGAUGGAAGGGACUACAGAGGUGCUAAGGGUGACUAUGGCCACCUGGGAUUGUCUGGACCCCCAGGAGACCGUGGAUUCAUGGGCCUAGUUGGACCUCCUGGCCCACCAGGCUUAACAGUACCAGUGGAGUCAAGUCUUCCUGGUCCAAGAGGCCCCCCCGGGCCAAAGGGCUACAAGGGAGAACGAGGGGAAAUUAAUUAUUUUGAAAUAAACCCAUUGCCUGGAUCAAAGGGUCAUAAAGGGCCCCCUGGACGAAAAGGCAUCAGAGGCCUCCCUGGGCAUCCAGGUAAAUGUUGAAUUGAUGUAACACAAUACCUCCACUAUACUGUAUGAACAGUUAACGUGUUAAGAAUGUGUGUUUGUAGUAAAAAGUACCUUAUUGUUUGUGUGUGUUUCCGGAAUAUAAUGGAACAUGACCAGGAUGUGGAGGUAAGUUUUGUCUUGUAAAAAAAAAAAAAACAAACAGAAAUACAAACAAAGCAAACUCAAAUGCAGUCAUUUAUUUUUUUAAUAUUGGACUACAUGUUUUGAGUGGUUGGUCCCACAGAUUACUAUUGUGAGCCUGGUAACCCUGGUGAUCCUGGUAACCCAGGACCCAAUGGAGCUCCCGGGAACAAAGGGCUAAAAGGAAUUAAAGGUAAACCAUUACUGAUUUUGUGGAUUACCCCACUAAUUAUGAUGUUGUUCUUUGUAUCUUUGGCAGAAUUUUAUGAUGUCCAGUGGGAAUACCCUGAAAGUGAUCAACCAGAGAGAAACAGAUUUAUACUGAUGCUGUCUCAUUAGUUUGGCAUUGAGUUAGUGUGGGUAGUAAGUGUGAACGAGUUGCAUCAUAGUCAGACUGUAUUAUAUGCAUGUCAUCUACAGGUGGUCCAGGGGAAUGUGACUGUAUAUCUAGUAGUGGAAGCAUUGGCCCCCAAGGUCUGCCUGGAUAUCAAGGACCUCCAGGGUUGCCUGGAAGCCAAGGAAUUAAAGGGGACCUGGGAGUCAAAGGAGAUGAGGGACCAAGAGGACCUCAAGUAAGAAGAGCAGAACCUACUCAUUCUAAUAUUCUAAAAUUAGAUUUACUGAAGCAGCUUUAAAAGUGGUUUUGUAUUUGAUUAAUUGUUUCCCUAAAGGGUUUAAAAGGAAUUGAGGGUUUAAAAGGACAGAAGGGUCAGAAAGGUGACCCUGUUGUGGCAGAUGUUAAAGGUGGGUACUAGUUAAAAGAACAAAGGAAUUAUGGUUUGCUACAAGCUUGUAAGGAUAAAUGUUAAACGUCUAUAGCCUGUCUAUAGUGAUUUGUGUUGUUAAAAGGUGCCAAAGGUGAUCAAGGAUUACCUGGAGAAACUGGUCUUCCAGGAGCAACUGGUAUUCCAGGACACGAUGGACUCCCUGGUCCUUUAGGAGAUCCUGGACCACCUGUAAGUGUGUACAUCUUGAAUAUUGCUUUAUUAUUAUUUUAAUAUAUGAUUUGAUGGUGCUGGCAAAAACCAAGUUCUGAUUUUUUUAUAUUUGCUUUUUUAUUAUUACUAUUAGUUAUUGUAUUAAUACAAUAUGGACAAUUAUUAGGGUGCAGGGUAUGCAGGAUUACCUGGUCCCAAAGGCAACUCUGGGUUAACUGGGCCCAAAGGUAUUGCUGGGCCUGUAGGCCAACCAGGCUUCCAGAUUCCAGGUCCUCCAGGGCCACCUGGACCUACAGGAAAUCCAGGACAUCCCGGCCUUCCAGGUGUUCCUGGACGACCAGGCCCUCCAGGUUAGAGACAAAUAAAAAAAUUUCAAAACUGCA